rnacentral:tmRNA from 1 species
CGGCUUGAACGCAAUUCUGAAUCGACCUAUGUUCGUCGUGCUGCGGCAACGCAGCUAUGACAGUAGACGGCCAGACGCAAUAGCUGAAGUAGACCCCGGGGCAGUACCGGGCGGGUCCACCUGAAGUCUCGCGAAGGUCUCGACAGCGAUUAUUCCGCGGAUCGAGACUUGAGGCGGGCCCGAAAUAGGAUCGAUGCUCAGUGAAAGGUUUGGUUUGCUGUUCGGUAUUGUUCCACCGUUAUCGGGCUUUAUCAAUAGUUGCCAACGACAACUAUGCGGAAGUGCGUCUCGCAGCCUAAGGCUGUGCGAUAGCUUCAAAUCAAGCCCUGGGGGUUCGCACUUCCAGGCGGGGUCCGGAGGCACCUGGCAACAGAAGCCUCCACU